UAAAAAACAAAUCCUAAGUUUCCGUGUCCAACGUUUGACCGUCCGUUUUAUAUGAAAAUUUUUUAUAAUUAGUAUUUUCAUUGUUGUUAGAUGAUAAAACAUGAUUAAUAUUUUAUGUGUGACUUAUCUUUUUAAUUUUUUUUAUAAUUUUUUUAAAUAAGACGGACGGUUAAACUUUGAACACGGAAACUCAGGGUUUGUCUUUUU
rfam:Oryza rufipogon genomic scaffold, chr10